rnacentral:rRNA from 1 species
AGAGUUUGAUCCUGGCUCAGGACGAACGCUGGCGGCGUGCUUAACACAUGCAAGUCGAACGGGGUGUUUAUUUCGGUAAACACCAAGUGGCGAACGGGUGAGUAACGCGUAAGCAAUCUACCUUCAAGAUGGGGACAACACUUCGAAAGGGGUGCUAAUACCGAAUGAAUGUAAGAGUAUCGCAUGAGACACUUACUAAAGGAGGCCUCUGAAAAUGCUUCCGCUUGAAGAUGAGCUUGCGUCUGAUUAGCUAGUUGGUGAGGGUAAAGGCCCACCAAGGCGACGAUCAGUAGCCGGUCUGAGAGGAUGAACGGCCACAUUGGGACUGAGACACGGCCCAGACUCCUACGGGAGGCAGCAGUGGGGAAUCUUCCGCAAUGGGCGAAAGCCUGACGGAGCAACGCCGCGUGAACGAUGAAGGUCUUAGGAUCGUAAAGUUCUGUUGUUAGGGACGAAGGGUAAGAAUCAUAAUAAGGUUUUUGUUUGACGGUACCUAACGAGGAAGCCACGGCUAACUACGUGCCAGCAGCCGCGGUAAUACGUAGGCGGCAAGCGUUGUCCGGAAUUAUUGGGCGUAAAGGGAGCGCAGGCGGGAAACUAAGCGGAUCUUAAAAGUGCGGGGCUCAACCCCGUGAUGGGGUCCGAACUGGUUUUCUUGAGUGCAGGAGAGGAAAGCGGAAUUCCCAGUGUAGCGGUGAAAUGCGUAGAUAUUGGGAAGAACACCAGUGGCGAAGGCGGCUUUCUGGACUGUAACUGACGCUGAGGCUCGAAAGCUAGGGUAGCGAACGGGAUUAGAUACCCCUGUAGUCCAGAGAAGAAAUGAAGUGC